UACAGAGGUCCCAAGCGUUGUUCGGAUUCACUGGGCGUAAAGGGCGCGUAGGCGGCGCGGUAAGUCACUUGUGAAAUCUCUGAGCUUAACUCAGAACGGCCAAGUGAUACUGCAGUGCUAGAGUGUGGAAGGGGCAAUCGGAAUUCUUGGUGUAGCGGUGAAAUGCGUAGAUAUCAAGAGGAACACCUGAGGUGAAGACGGGUUGCUGGGCCAACACUGACGCUGAGGCGCGAAAGCCAGGGGAGCAAACGGG
rnacentral:rRNA from 1 species